rnacentral:rRNA from 1 species
GAUUGAAAGCUGGCGUCUUCGGCGUCCGCAUUGUAAUCUCAAGAAGUGUUUUCCGCUUCGGACCAUGCCUAAGUCCCUUGGAAAAGGGCAUCAUAGAGGGUGAUAAUCCCGUACAUGGCUUGGAGCGCCCGAGGCUUUGUGAUACGCUUUCUAAGAGUCGAGUUGUUUGGGAAUGCAGCUCAAAAUGGGUGGUAAAUGCCAUCUAAGGCUAAAUAUUGGGGAGAGACCGAUAGCGAACAAGUACAGUGAUGGAAAGAUGAAAAGAACUUUGAAAAGAGAGUUAAACAGUACGUGAAAUUGCCAAAAGGGAAGGGUAGGAGGUCAGAGAUGCGGCCUGGGAUUCAGCCUUGCUUUUGCUUGGUGUUUUUCCCAGAUUGCAGGCCAACGUCGGUUUUGGGCACUGGAGAAGGGUAGGAGGAACGUGGCACCCCUCGGGGUGUGUUAUAGCCUCCUACUGGAUACAGCGACCGAGACCGAGGACAGCAGCGUACUCGCAAGAGCGGGCCUUCGGGCACCUUUACGCUUAGGGCGUUGGCAUAAUGGCCCUCUACCACCCGUCUUG